AGUGAACGCUGGCGGUAGGCCUAACACAUGCAAGUCGAACGGCAGCACAGUAAGAGCUUGCUCUUACGGGUGGCGAGUGGCGGACGGGUGAGGAAUACAUCGGAAUCUACUUUUUCGUGGGGGAUAACGUAGGGAAACUUACGCUAAUACCGCAUACGACCUACGGGUGAAAGCAGGGGAUCUUCGGACCUUGCGCGAUUGAAUGAGCCGAUGUCGGAUUAGCUAGUUGGCGGGGUAAAGGCCCACCAAGGCGACGAUCUGUAGCUGGUCUGAGAGGAUGAUCAGCCACACUGGAGCUGAGACACGGUCCAGACUCCUACGGGAGGCAGCAGUGGGGAAUAUUGGACAGUGGGCGCAAGCCUGAUCCAGCCAUACCGCGUGGGUGAAGGAGGCCUUCGGGUUGUAAAGCCCUUUUGUUGGGAAAGAAAAGCAGCAGGUUAAUACCCCGCUGUUCUGACGGUACCCAAAGAAUAAGCACCGGCUAACUUCGUG
rnacentral:rRNA from 1 species